GAAAUGCGAUACGUAGUGUGAAUUGCAGAAUUCCGUGAACCAUCGAAUCUUUGAACGCAAAUUGCGCCCAAGGCUUCGGCCGAGGGCAUGUCUGCCUCAGCGUCGGCUUACACCCUCGCUCUCCCUCUCCUUUGGAUUGGAUAGAGCGGAUCUGACCUUCCCGGCUCCUUCGAUUCGUCGUUGAGUCCGGGUCGGUUGAAGUGUAGAGGUUUGAGCAUGGACCCCGUUUGUAGGGCAAUGACUUGGUAGGUAGCUUCGCUACACAGCCUGUCGUUGUCCGAGGGGACUUUGCUGGCGACCUAGCAGGAAUUUAGGGUGGUUCUGCCACCCUGAAUGUCUCACAAAUUCGACCUGAGCUCAGGCAAGACUACCCGCUGAACUUAA
rnacentral:misc_RNA from 1 species